rnacentral:rRNA from 1 species
UGCUGGAGGUAUCAGAAGUGCGAAUGCUGACAUAAGUAACGAUAAAGCGGGUGAAAAGCCCGCUCGCCGGAAGACCAAGGGUUCCUGUCCAACGUUAAUCGGGGCAGGGUGAGUCGACCCCUAAGGCGAGGCCGAAAGGCGUAGUCGAUGGGAAACGGGUUAAUAUUCCCGUACUUGGUGUUACUGCGAAGGGGGGACGGAGAAGGCUAUGUUGGCCGGGCGACGGUUGUCCCGGUUUAAGCGUGUAGGUGUGUGUUCCAGGUAAAUCCGGUUCACUUUAACACUGAGGCGUGAUGACGAGGCACUACGGUGCUGAAGCAACAAAUGCCCUGCUUCCAGGAAAAGCCUCUAAGCAUCAGGUAACAUCAAAUCGUACCCCAAACCGACACAGGUGGUCAGGUAGAGAAUACCAAGGCGCUUGAGAGAACUCGGGUGAAGGAACUAGGCAAAAUGGUGCCGUAACUUCGGGAGAAGGCACGCUGACACGUAGGUGAAGUGAUUUACUCACGGAGCUGAAGUCAGUCGAAGAUACCAGCUGGCUGCAACUGUUUAUUAAAAACACAGCACUGUGCAAACACGAAAGUGGACGUAUACGGUGUGACGCCUGCCCGGUGCCGGAAGGUUAAUUGAUGGGGUCAGCGCAAGCGAAGCUCCUGAUCGAAGCCCCGGUAAACGGCGGCCGUAACUAUAACGGUCCUAAGGUAGCGAAAUUCCUUGUCGGGUAAGUUCCGACCUGCACGAAUGGCGUAAUGAUGGCCAGGCUGUCUCCACCCGAGACUCAGUGAAAUUGAACUCGCUGUGAAGAUGCAGUGUACCCGCGGCAAGACGGAAAGACCCCGUGAACCUUUACUAUAGCUUGACACUGAACAUUGAGCCUUGAUGUGUAGGAUAGGUGGGAGGCUUUGAAGUGUGGACGCCAGUCUGCAUGGAGCCGACCUUGAAAUACCACCCUUUAAUGUUUGAUGUUCUAACGUGGACCCGUUACCCGGGUUGCGGACAGUGUCUGGUGGGUAGUUUGACUGGGGCGGUCUCCUCCUAAAGAGUAACGGAGGAGCACGAAGGUUGGCUAAUCCUGGUCGGACAUCAGGAGGUUAGUGCAAUGGCAUAAGCCAGCUUGACUGCGAGCGUGACGGCGCGAGCAGGUGCGAAAGCAGGUCAUAGUGAUCCGGUGGUUCUGAAUGGAAGGGCCAUCGCUCAACGGAUAAAAGGUACUCCGGGGAUAACAGGCUGAUACCGCCCAAGAGUUCAUAUCGACGGCGGUGUUUGGCACCUCGAUGUCGGCUCAUCACAUCCUGGGGCUGAAGUAGGUCCCAAGGGUAUGGCUGUUCGCCAUUUAAAGUGGUACGCGAGCUGGGUUUAGAACGUCGUGAGACAGUUCGGUCCCUAUCUGCCGUGGGCGCUGGAGAACUGAGGGGGGCUGCUCCUAGUACGAGAGGACCGGAGUGGACGCAUCACUGGUGUUCGGGUUGUCAUGCCAAUGGCACUGCCCGGUAGCUAAAUGCGGAAGAGAUAAGUGCUGAAAGCAUCUAAGCACGAAACUUGCCCCGAGAUGAGUUCUCCCUGAGACUUAGAGUCUCCUGAAGGAACGUUGAAGACGACGACGUUGAUAGGCCG